rnacentral:rRNA from 1 species
AUUGAACGCUGGCGGCAGGCCUAACACAUGCAAGUCGAGCGGUAGAGAGAAGCUUGCUUCUCUUGAAAGCGGCGGACGGGUGAGUAAUGCCUAGGAAUCUGCCUGGUAGUGGGGGAUAACGCUCGGAAACGGACGCUAAUACCGCAUACGUCCUACGGGAGAAAGCAGGGGACCUUCGGGCCUUGCGCUAUCAGAUGAGC